rnacentral:misc_RNA from 1 species
CACCAGCCCAAACAGCACUCCGGUUGCGACAGAAAGCGCCACGCUAAACGCGAGCACGUUGCGGUUGAGCGUAAUGUCGGCGAAGCCGCUAAGCCGCGGCGGGCCGAGCGCCAGGAUCACGGGGAUCGCCCACACGGCGAGCAGAAUACCCAAUGCG